GCGGACGUGGCGGAACUGGCAGACGCACCAGGUUUAGGUCCUGGCGCCCUAACGGGUGUGGGGGUUCGAAUCCCCCCGUCCGCA
rnacentral:tRNA from 1 species